AGUUUGAUCCUGGCUCAGGACGAACGCUGGCGGCGCGCCUAACACAUGCAAGUCGAACGAGCGAGAGAAAGCUUGCUUUCUCGAGCGAGUGGCGAACGGGUGAGUAACGCGUGAGGAACCUGCCUCAAAGAGGGGGACAACAGUUGGAAACGACUGCUAAUACCGCAUAAGCCCACGGGUCGGCAUCGGCCAGAGGGAAAAGGAGCAAUCCGCUUUGAGAUGGCCUCGCGUCCGAUUAGCUAGUUGGUGAGGUAACGGCCCACCAAGGCGACGAUCGGUAGCCGGACUGAGAGGUUGAACGGCCACAUUGGGACUGAGACACGGCCCAGACUCCUACGGGAGGCAGCAGUGGGGAAUAUUGCACAAUGGGGGAAACCCUGAUGCAGCGACGCCGCGUGGAGGAAGAAGGUCUUCGGAUUGUAAACUCCUGUUGUUGAGGAAGAUAAUGACGGUACUCAACAAGGAAGUGACGGCUAACUACGUGCCAGCAGCCGCGGUAAAACGUAGGUCACAAGCGUUGUCCGGAAUUACUGGGUGUAAAGGGAGCGCAGGCGGGAAGACAAGUUGGAAGUGAAAUCCAUGGGCUCAACCCAUGAACUGCUUUCAAAACUGUUUUUCUUGAGUAGUGCAGAGGUAGGCGGAAUUCCCGGUGUAGCGGUGGAAUGCGUAGAUAUCGGGAGGAACACCAGUGGCGAAGGCGGCCUACUGGGCACCAACUGACGCUGAGGCUCGAAAGUGUGGGUAGCAAACAGGAUUAGAUACCCUGGUAGUCCACACCGUAAACGAUGAUUACUAGGUGUUGGAGGAUUGACCCCUUCAGUGCCGCAGUUAACACAAUAAGUAAUCCACCUGGGGAGUACGACCGCAAGGUUGAAACUCAAAGGAAUUGACGGGGGCCCGCACAAGCAGUGGAGUAUGUGGUUUAAUUCGACGCAACGCGAAGAACCUUACCAAGUCUUGACAUCCUGCGACGGUGCUGGAAACAGUACUUUCCUUCGGGACGCAGAGACAGGUGGUGCAUGGUUGUCGUCAGCUCGUGUCGUGAGAUGUUGGGUUAAGUCCCGCAACGAGCGCAACCCUUAUGGUCAGUUACUACGCAAGAGGACUCUGGCCAGACUGCCGUUGACAAAACGGAGGAAGGUGGGGAUGACGUCAAAUCAUCAUGCCCUUUAUGACUUGGGCUACACACGUACUACAAUGGCGUUAAACAAAGAGAAGCAAGACCGCGAGGUGGAGCAAAACUCAGAAACAACGUCCCAGUUCGGACUGCAGGCUGCAACUCGCCUGCACGAAGUCGGAAUUGCUAGUAAUCGUGGAUCAGCAUGCCACGGUGAAUACGUUCCCGGGCCUUGCACACACCGCCCGUC
rnacentral:rRNA from 1 species